AAGUUUUCAAAUAUUAUAGAAUAGAAAAGUCGGUUUCAAACAUAACAAAGUUGGGAGAAAGGUAAUAAAGUCUUUUUAAUAUAAGAUAAUCUCUCGUAUUUCAUAUCCCAUCUUCACCAAUUUCUGAAUUAUGUUGAAUUAUACGAAAUAUAAAAAUUACUGUAUACAUAAAUAUUGGACAUUUGUAGUAAUGAUUUAAAUGAUUUGACAAAUUUCGACGUAUUCGACGAAGUGAUGUAUUGUUGUGAUGUCACAAUUAAUUAACAAUAGCUUCAAAUUGUUUCUUUUUCUAUUGUUGGUAGCCAAGACAAAGAUUUCUCUGAAAAUUUUUAUUGUUUUUCUCUUCAUUUUGAAGUCUUUCGACAGAAUUUUGGUUUCGAAAAGAAGUUUAAUUACAAACUGUAAGAUAUAUUUCACGUUUGAAUAACAAUACGAGAUAACGUAAAUGACAAAGUAUCCCGUGUAAUCAUAAAGAAGCUAUUUCUUAUAUAAAAUCAGUACAGGAAUAAGAUUGUAUCAAAUACAUGCAAUGUCCAGCGAAAUCAUGAAUAUCAUUCCUGGUUGAUGCUGCUUCAAAAUCGAAAUUUCUUUUGACAUUUCUUCCUGGUGACACAAGAAAGAAGAAUUGGGAUAAGUAGCACUUUCUUUACUUUUAAUAUCGAUAAUAAUUAAACGGUUAUAUCAAACUUUUGUAAAUUUGAAUUAUAUUUUAAUAAUAUUUUACGUUAUAAUUUUACAAAUAAAUAUACUCAAUACAUUAUUUAAUAACUACCUCAAAUUAUCUUCUUUCGUAAAGUACGUUUGUAGAAUGAAUGUUUCGUAUAUAUUAGGCUAAAUAUAUCAGGGAAACAGUUAAUAUAAUUCAACUCACUUUCCAGAUCUUCAACUGAUUGUAGAGAGAUGACAAUAUGGGAAAUUAACGCCCAAAAUCACUAAUACAUACUCCUUACAUUAACGCGAAGGUGAAGCAAUAUCUUUCUCAAUUAAACACAUUUAUAAAUGUUCAACACACAAAAUAUCCAACAAAUUUCAAUGAAGGAAAACAAAGAAAAAACUUAUUCCUUCUUCAACUAUUCCUACAGUACAUGCAGCAAUUUAGUAAUAAUUUAGCCUACACUUCACACAAUCUCAAUAUACAAGAGUUUAAAUACAGUUUACAUGCAGUGUUAAAUGUUUGACAAAUUUAUAUGAUAGGUUAAUUUGUAAUAAAACAGCUUAAUUUGCAUUUUUACAUAGAUUAAAUAGGAAUGUGUUCCGUUUCUAUUUAACCCAUAUUUAACUACGGUAUUAAAAAUUUAAAAAGAAAUAUACUGGUUCUACAGUUUUACAUCUGUAUCUAGAAUUUAAUCGGAUAAUUGUUACUGAAUGCCAGAAUGGUAUAAUUAUUUUCAUCUGUAAAGAGUAAAGAAUUAAAAUAAUACAUCCGUUUCUGGACCGAAGACUAAAUGGCAGAAGCUUAUGAGUAAGCUAUCGAUUUCUGAAAGGAUAUUGGAAGAAAGGAAGAGUGAUGCUUGAUGAAGGAAUAAUUAAGAAAGUUUUAAUGCUGAUUACAGAAUUUCCUGGAUAGAAGAAACUUAAUAAUUAUCACUGCAAAUAAGUUUGUUUCAUUAUCUAAUAAUAACUUGUAUAAGCUUAUUUAUAACCACGAAUACAUUUUAUAAAUUUAGAUAAAGAUAAUAUUAAGAAGUAUGAAUUUAUAAUAAGAAAGAUUUUCGUCGUUUAAGUAUAGAAGUAUAAAUUUGUGUAAAUAAAUAAUUAUUUAAUGCUUAUAUAUUAGGCCGUUGAAUAAGUAAUGCCUCCUUGUAAAUGGUUCGCGCAGAAGUUGCUUAGCAAGCAAUUAAAAAAAUAAUUCUUUGCUUCUUUAGUUACAUUCUAAUGCAUGGUAGAAUAUGAAACGUGUUUUAGUUGAAAUUUCAUUGUUUAAAAAGUAACAUCCAGUUAAGGAUGAUACUUUACUUUUUCAAUUAUGUUGGAGCGAAUGAAACAACGAUCACUUACCAAAUUG